GAAAUGCGAUAAGUAGUGUGAAUUGCAGAAUUCAGUGAAUCAUCGAAUCUUUGAACGCACAUUGCGCCCCUUGGUAUUCCAUGGGGCAUGCCUGUUCGAGCGUCAUUUGUACCCUCAAGCUCUGCUUGGUGUUGGGUGUUUGUCCCCGUCUCCGCGCGUGGACUCGCCCCAAAGUGAUUGGCAGCCGGCGUACUGGUCCCGGAGCGCAGCACAUGUCGCGCAAACGAGUGCCUUGGUAUGGCGGCGCCCAUAAGCCCCUCUCUCACGCUCUUGACCUCGGAUCAGGUAGGGAUACCCGCUGAACUUAAGC
rnacentral:misc_RNA from 1 species